GGGGCUUUAGCUCAUAUGGUAGAGCACUCGGUUAGCAUGCGAGAGGUACUGGGAUCAAUACCCAGGUGCUCCA
rnacentral:tRNA from 1 species